rnacentral:rRNA from 1 species
GGGAUUAGGGUUCGAUUCCGGAGAGGGAGCCUGAGAAACGGCUACCACAUCUAAGGAAGGCAGCAGGCGCGCAAAUUACCCAAUCCUAAUACAGGGAGGUAGUGACAAGAAAUAACAAUACAGGACUUUUUGGUUUUGUAAUUGGAAUGAGUUAAGUAUAAACCCCUUUACAAGUAUCAAUUGGAGGGCAAGUCUG